CCCCCCCACGAAUCUGAUUGGUCAGGACGUGGGCAGGCAACGAGAUUAAAAAGGGGCCUUUUGGAGUGUGUGGCAGCAUUGACCAGGUUGACAUCAACGCUAAAGACGUUUCGAUGGCUCGUGUGCUGGCGAUUGUUGCUAUUGCGCUUGCAAGUGUGUAUCUUGCAAGUGGACAGGAGGUCGACAAUCAUAAACACAAGCGAUCCAGCUGGAACUUUGCUUGGAUGAUCUACCGUGUCACGGGAAGAAAUCCACUCGAUUACAGUGGCUACGGCUGUCACUGUAUUAUGGGAAGUGAAGGACAUCCAGUCGAUGCUGUGGACAGGCGAGUGUGUGCAUUGCGUAUUUUCCCCAUGUGUCUUUUCCCAUUUCCAGCCUAACCAGUCAUCCAGCAGGUAGCCUUGAACGCUAAUGCAGGCACCAAACACAGUAGGGCUUUGACUUUGGCCAAAGUAAUUCCAUCCAAACAGGUCGUGCAAUUUGAGUAAAAUUAAUUGAGAUUUUCUUGGUGGAGGAGCAUAAGAGCUGUGUUUAUAUAUAUUAUAACCUCAGCAUUCCACGUAUAGUUAGGAAUUAGGUGGGUUGAGUUAUUCAGAAAAUUUUCCACAAUAAAUUGUGGGAUAGAUAUUAGGCAUGUAAUUAAUAACAAAAAAAUACAUUUGUAUCCCAAUUCCUGUGUUUAGCUUAAACCGUACAUUUCGACCCCCAAAUCAUCCUUCGUGCAUCGAAACUCAUCAGAUCUCAGUAGUUAAGCAGGCUUGGGCCUUGUUAGUACAUGGUUGAGUGACCAGCAGGGAUUGUCAGACGUUUGUAGGCUUGGGGCUACAAGGUGCCUAGAAGAUGGCAGGGUUGAAUGUCACCACCUCUUGUGCUUUGUGGGUUUUCUGUGGGUACCUCUGGUUUCCUCCCACGUGCAAAACACUCGCCAAUGUAAUUGGCCAAACACCUCUCUCGGAAAAGAGUCUUGAGAAACAGUGAGGCUUUCCUAAGUAAAUUAUCAUCAUUAUCAACUGAUAUAAAAAAAAUAAUGAACGCUCACAAUGAUACACUUAAUUUGUUUCGACGUAUCAGGUUUAGAGUACAUUGUUGGAAUAAUUGCAAAGCAAAAUUGAGCAUUUGUAUCUCUGGCCGAUGCCUAUGCGUACACAGGUGCUGCCAAGUUCACAACCGAUGCUAUGACGCCGCCUUCAGUAUGGGGUGCGCAUCGGAUUUGGAUUCUUAUGAAUUCAGCACUCGAGGAAAAGCCAUAACCUGCAGGAAGCAGGGAUCACCAUGUGAAACGCUGGCAUGCUCUUGUGACAAAGCUGCCGUGGAGUGUUUCGCAAUUCACGACUUUGACGACAAUUUCCAGAACUUCAAGAGAAACGGAGUCUGUGACCAAUAGAAAACAGCCGUUUUAUGAGGGCAUAAAGAAUCAACGUUCGCAUUUUAAAGCACCCACGUUCACGUAUGAUCGGUGAUGGCCCGCAAAAUAAUAUGAAUUUUAAAUAAAUUCGUUAUUUAAAUGAUAAAACAUGUUAACCAAUUUAGUUAACUUAAAAAUUAGGAUUCAACCCAUACAGACAUGAAAUUAUGGAUCAAAAUAUCCUUUGAGCUAUACCGUUCGCAUCCUUAGGCUGUCAUUCAGUUUCGUGACUUAAAUAAUGAGCUAAUAUUAAAUGUAUCGUGAAAAUCAUAUGUGACUGCAGGUUGUGCUAUUAUUGGUGAUACUACUGUAUAACUAUGGUGUAGGACUGUAGUUGUGCUUUAGUGGGGAAAUAUAAUUCCUGAUGACUUGUGCUGAAGUGUAUCAAGUGAAACAAAAACAUUUAAUUUGAAAAACAAUUAUAUUGAUAAUGCGAGCUAAGGUGAUUACAACUGGUUGUGGUGUUUGCACUAUAUAUAAUAAAGUGUUCAAUGGAAGUUAAAGUAUCACUUUCUAUUUCAUAUGGAUUUUAAUUGAGCAGCAAUUUCAUAUAAAUCACUGGAGUUAUAUUACCUUGCCGGUGACCAAAUCACCAAAAAUGGAUGCUAAUCAGGAUUGAGCCAACUAAAUACUUACAACUAUUUAAAAUUAUGUUUUAAUCAGGUAAGACCCACUGAGAUAUUCUAGCUCUUUGUCAGAAGUGACCUGGCCACAAAUGAUCGCUCAACAAAGUGGCCUAUCACGUGGAAAUUUAUA